rnacentral:rRNA from 1 species
CAGUAGCCGCGGGAAUACGUAGGGUGCAAGCGUUAAUCGGAAUUACUGGGCGUAAAGCGUGCGCAGGCGGUUAUAUAAGACAGAUGUGAAAUCCCCGGGCUCAACCUGGGAACUGCAUUUGUGACUGUAUAGCUAGAGUACGGCAGAGGGGGAUGGAAUUCCGCGUGUAGCAGUGAAAUGCGUAGAUAUGCGUAGGAACACCGAUGGCGAAGGCAAUCCCCUGGGCCUGUACUGACGCUCAUGCACGAAAGCGUGGGGAGCAAACAGGAUUAGAUACCCCCGUAGUCCCUGUCUCUUAUAC